CAUAUCUCUGGGCAGACGGACUCUUGUGAGGCUUGUAAAAUACUGAGCACCUUCUUGGCAGAGUCGCAGUGAAUAAGAAUUUUCCCUCUGGAAUAAAAUGCACAGCGGAAUCAAGGCUGUGGGUCACCCCAUCGAUGCGGGGUCAUCAGAAGCUGAACGUGAGCUGUGGGAGAGCAGCCGAGAUGAGACAAGGAGGUUUCGCUGUGGGUUGGAACUGUCACGGGGCAGCUGACGGUGGAGCAGAACAUCUGAACGGGCCUACGCAGUGCUGGGAGGAAAAACACACCAACCCCAUCUUGCUGGGAAAUGGGGCUUCAGCUUCUUCCAGUUUUUGGAUUCCAACCCUGCCCUAAAUCCAGCAGAGCUCUCCGGAAACACCACGUCUGUGGGUGGCACAGGGGGUCACUGCCCGAAUCUGCUUUCUCCUGGCAACCAAAAUGUGCAGCUGGAUCCCCGGCCUCGGCCAGUCACGGGAUGUCUCUGGGGUGCAGCUCGGCCUUUCCAAAGGACGCUUUGCCAGUGUCUGAGGAAAUGGUGUUGAAGAGCCUCUGUGUUGGAUGGAAAAGGAGGCAGGGAAGGAGUGAAGAUGAAAACGAAGAUAUGGCGGGGGGGCCGUUCCUGCAGUGCUUGUGAUGUGAGCGGAGAGGUGGCGACUCCCUGGGAAGGACACAGGGACCAGCAGGUGAAAAGGCUGAGGGAGAUGGAGGGAGCAUCAACAGUCAUGAUGUUUGGGCAAGACCAGCCCAUCCCACCCCCUGAAGCUCAGCUGCAUGUUUAGGACCACCACUGGAUCCAUGCUGGCGUUUGCCUCUUGAUGAUCAUCUCCCAAAACAUCCUUGUUCCUGGAAAGCCUCAACAAAAUGUUCUGCGAGAGAUGAGUGGCAAUCAGUUGGAGACCGCAGCUGUGAGUGUCCAGGGCAGGAGCUCCCUGCCAAGCCUGAUGCAAGAUCAGUUCACUCUGGCCAUACAAAUCACCUCUCCGUGCCCACAGACCGUGAUGUAGGUUUCCUGUUCACCUGGGCUGGAGACGCUCCAGAGCUCCUGCGGUGCUGGACACGGAGGGAUUCCCCAGGCAGACUUGCUGGAGAACUCGUCUGCUCUGAAAAUCACCAGUCCCAAGAUGUUCUUGAGGAGGUCCUGGAAAGGCAACAAGGAGACGUGUCCUGGUAUGGGGAUGGAGGUGUUGUGAAGCCCAUCAGCUGGCAGGGGGUUGCAGACCCCUCUGCCCAUCCUUCCCAAACAGAGCUGUCCUCCUGCAGCACAAGGCGGAGAAGAAAGCGUAUCGCGAGCAAAUCCUGUGGGUUCAGACUGGCAAAGGAAGCAGAGCAGUGCAUGCGCAGAGGUGCUUUCAAUCCUAAGGAUGCUGCACUCAGUGCUGAUAAGAGACCAACAGAAU
rnacentral:lncRNA from 1 species